GAUCGAUUUGCAUUUACCUCGUUAGAGUUAGACCGGUCAUCACCUUCUUCCCGGCGCACUGGACAUGGGACGGGGCCCCAUGGAUGGGAUGGAGUUCUUCUUCGAAGAUGACGAUUCGGGGUCGGAUGCAGUGUCUAUCUUAAAGGGGCAAGUGGCUGCAGUGGAAUUGGUUGUUGCUUCUAUUCAUGGGGCUCGCACAGGCAAUGGAGAUUAGAUUUCUUCCCAUGCAAACAGUGGAGGAAUGGAGUCCGGAGAGAACGGAGGAGGACGGCACCCAGAAGAGACAAUCAUGACAGAGGAGAUUAUCGAUUCAUACAUCUGUGGUAGCGAGGUGGCGGCCGAUUCAAUGUCCCCUGAAAAUAUGAGCGGCCAAAGAAGAUGAGAUGCAGAGGGAGUGGUCGUCUCAAAAUCACAGGGCUCCUGCUGGACACGAAAGGAAGUUUACUUGUGAUCUAAUCUAUUAUUUUGUGACUCUGUAUAAUGGUAGCACAUAAUGGAGUAAACGAGUCUUCAUGUGAAAUUGACAAGUGAUUAUGACAUGCAAAGCAUCAGAUAUCUUCAUUUUUCUGGUUUAGGAUCCCAUGUGUGAUUCAACAAUUAAUUGGUGUCCAUGUUAAAAUUUGCAGAAUUAGGAUCAGUUAGGAUGCAGAUGAGAGGGAGAACAAUCCCAGCAGAGUGCCUCCUACGCUUGAGGCUUCGAUACGUUCUUAUGCUGAUAACAAGGCAGGUACUGUUGUUAAUCCAGCUAGCUUCGCUUCCGUCGAAGAAGUAUAUGAGUUUUACAACUUGUACUCUUUGGGAGACUGACUUUGGUGUCCGGUAUGCAAAGAGCCGACUCAAUGUCCAUGGGAUAAAGUGCAUGCAUGCGCGGGUAAACCACUGCAGUCCAAUAGCAGAUCAAACGGUGUGGCUGCACUGCUAUGAUGUGGCUAUUGAGAUCGGAUGAUAACGGUUCGUACGGGUGCGAGCAUAGGUCAGAAAUGAUCAUGAGCUCUCUGUUAACUGUAUGGAGAAGUUACAUUGAAAGUCGCAUCGACACAUGUACACCGGGGACAUGGUAAAAGAACAAAGAAUGAUUGCGUCGCUGUGGGUCAUGAUCUUGAAGAGGGUUGCGGCCACUUCGACCCCUUGUUGGCGUUAAUCCCACCGAGCCAUGCAGCAAGUUAUGAAUUGGAGCACAUGUUCGACGAUAUUUGACGGCGCUGCGGCAACUGAUGGUGCAUGCUCUGAAGACGAAGAAGUCAUGAACAAGCCUGCCAAAAAAGCCGGGAUAGUUUGACCACCUAGUGUAGAUUUUAGAGCAGGAUUGGUUAGCCCUGUUUCAUAUCUUGUGCAUGAUAUACUGGUGUGUGACUUGUCCUAGUAAUUGCCUAUGUAAUCGCGUUUAUCACUCUGCGUUUGGAUU